GGGGGGAAAACAAUGGAUGGUCUUGCUUGGUGUCAGUGAUGAGGAAAGUGGCAGCUACUGAAUUUCUGAGCUGUAACUGACGUUAGAAGAUUGCUGAAGGAAACAAACAGACAAACAAACAACCCUGCCAUCUUUUUGUAUUGUGAUUAUGGAUAUGCAUUCGUCUUCUUGACUGCACGAAUCAAGAAGAGGGCCGUGAAAAUAUUUGCAGAUCCCUCGCAUCCUGGACAUAAACUGUUUCAACUCCUACCCUCAAAACGACGCUAUAGAGCACUGCACACCAGAACAACUAGACACAAGAACAGUUUUUUCCCGAAGGCCAUCACUCUGCUAAACAAAUAAUUCCCUCAACACUGUCAGACUAUUUACUGAAUCUGCACUACUAUUAAUCGUUUCAUAGUUCCCAUCACCAAUCUCUUUCCACUUAUGACUGUAUGACUAUAACUUGUUGCUGGCAAUCCUUAUGAUUUAUAUUGAUAUAUUGAUCAUCAAUUGUGUUGUAAAUGUUGUACCUUGAUGAACGUAUCUUUUCUUUUAUGUACACUGAGAGCAUAUGCACCAAGACAAAUUCCUUGUGUGUCCAAUCACACUUGGCCAAUAAAAUUCUAUUCUAUUCUAUUCUAUUCUAUAAAUUAACCUGGAUAUGUCUGAAAUAUUCAAUUCUCUAGAAUCCUCAUAACAUUAAAAAAAUUGGUAUGUUUCAUGUACGUUUUAUCAGGGAAUGCUUGC